rnacentral:rRNA from 1 species
UCUGCCUGGUAGUGGGGGAUAACGUCCGGAAACGGGCGCUAAUACCGCAUACGUCCUGAGGGAGAAAGUGGGGGAUCUUCGGACCUCACGCUAUCAGAUGAGCCUAGGUCGGAUUAGCUAGUUGGUGGGGUAAAGGCCUACCAAGGCGACGAUCCGUAACUGGUCUGAGAGGAUGAUCAGUCACACUGGAACUGAGACACGGUCCAGACUCCUACGGGAGGCAGCAGUGGGGAAUAUUGGACAAUGGGCGAAAGCCUGAUCCAGCCAUGCCGCGUGUGUGAAGAAGGUCUUCGGAUUGUAAAGCACUUUAAGUUGGGAGGAAGGGCAGUAAGUUAAUACCUUGCUGUUUUGACGUUACCAACAGAAUAAGCACCGGCUAACUUCGUGCCAGCAGCCGCGGUAAUACGAAGGGUGCAAGCGUUAAUCGGAAUUACUGGGCGUAAAGCGCGCGUAGGUGGUUCAGCAAGUUGGAUGUGAAAUCCCCGGGCUCAACCUGGGAACUGCAUCCAAAGCUACUGAGCUAGAGUACGGUAGAGGGUGGUGGAAUUUCCUGUGUAGCGGUGAAAUGCGUAGCUAUAGGAAGGAACACNCAGUGGCGAAGGCGACCACCUGGACUNGAUACUGACACUGAGG